GCGAACGCUGGCGGCGUGCUUAACACAUGCAAGUCGAGCGAAGGUGUUUCAAGGGUAACCUUGAGAUACACUUAGCGGCGGACGGGUGAGUAAUACGUGGAUAACUUACCUCUAGGCCUGGGAUAACCCCGGGAAACUGGGGCUAAUACCUGAUUAGACCACAUUGUCUACGGACAAAGGGGUAAAGGUGGCUGUGCAAACAGCUAUCGCCAAAAGAUAGGUUCACGUCCCAUCAGGCAGUUGGUGGAGUAG
rnacentral:rRNA from 1 species